AUUGAACGCUGGCGGCAGGCUUAACACAUGCAAGUCGAGCGGGGAAAGGUAGCUUGCUACCUGACCUAGCGGCGGACGGGUGAGUAAUGCUUAGGAAUCUGCCUAUUAGUGGGGGACAACAUUCCGAAAGGAAUGCUAAUACCGCAUACGCCCUACGGGGGAAAGCAGGGGAUCUUCGGACCUUGCGCUAAUAGAUGAGCCUAAGUCAGAUUAGCUAGUUGGUGGGGUAAAGGCCUACCAAGGCGACGAUGUGUAGCGGGUCUGAGAGGAUGGCCGCCCACCCUGGGACUGAGACACGGCCCAAAGUACUCAGGGAGGCAGCAUGGGGGAAUAUUGGAAAAUGGGGGAAAGCCUAAGCUAGCCAUGCCCCGUGUGUGAAGAAGGCCUUUUGGUUGUAAAGCACUUUAAGCGAGGAGGAGGCUACUUGGAUUAAUACUCUAGGAUAGUGGACGUUACUCGCAGAAUAAGCACCGGCUAACUCUGUGCCAGCCGCCGCAGUAACAC
rnacentral:rRNA from 1 species